GAUAACAUGGACAUAUGAUCUGCAUCUUUGCAUUUUCAAGUGCAAAGAUGCAGAUCAUAUGUCCAUGUUAAU
rfam:Arabidopsis thaliana chromosome 2, complete sequence.